ACGGAGGGUGCGAGCGUUAAUCGGAAUCACUGGGCGUAAAGCGUACGUAGGCGGUGUCGUAAGUCGGAUGUGAAAGCCCUCGGCUCAACCGGGGAACUGCAUUUGAUACUGCGAUGCUUGAGUGCCGGAGAGGGUGGCGGAAUUCCAGGUGUAGCAGUGAAAUGCGUAGAUAUGUGGAGGAACACCGAUGGCGAAGGCAGCCACCUGGGCGAUUACUGACGCUGAGGUGCGAAAGCGUGGGGAGCAAACAG
rnacentral:rRNA from 1 species